rnacentral:lncRNA from 1 species
AAAUUAAAUGUUUUUCUCACAGUGAAUUAUGGUCAAAGAAAUUUGAAUGACAUUGACUUGUGAUUUCUAUGGUAAAAUGCUUUCUUUGGGGUAUAAAUACAGAAAUGUUUAUAUAUACAUAAACCUACUCCAAUCCUCUUUUCCUUUCUGCUCUGACCCUCCAUCUGUAAACCUGAGCAAGGCUGAGGAGGUGGGCUAUCGCGGGCAAGACUGCAGUUUCCAAAACAACUUCAGAGCAGAACAGAAGGAGUGUGCCUGCAUGUGAAAUAGCUGGUUUCCCAGUAACAGGUCCUACUCUCUAUGAUGAGAAGGAACCCUCUCAACAGCCCUGUGACACUCACUAAACAACCCGUGGCCACCACGGACACCAGGGAGACCACCCUGGUUCCCUGGCCACUGCCGAGGCUUCUGAAGCCCACCUGAUCACUUGGAGCAUCUGCUUCCCUGCAGAGGCAAGACCUCAGGUGGGAGAGAGCACCGUCUACCAUUCACCUGGAUUGGGUAGGAGAGACAGCUGUCUACAAUCCACCUGGAAGGCAGAACAGUGGCCUCAACCAAAACAAGAGAGACAGAGGAUGUCAACCACUGAAUCUUUCUAAUAUCUGGACAGACUUCAAAUGACUUUUUGGAUUAUAAGGUGUAUUUUGCAAGACUUUGAUGACAUAUGGGCUUCCCUGGUGGCUCAGAUGGUAAAUCGUCAGCCUGCAAUGCAGGAGACCUGCGUUCGAUCCCUGGGUCAGGAAGAUCCCCUGGAGAAGGAAAUGGCAACCCACUCCAGUACUCUUGCCUGGAAAAUUCCAUGGACGGAGGAGCUUGGUGAGCUACAGUCCAUGGGGUCACAGAGUCAGACACGACUGAGAGACUUCACUUGA